AGUACAAAUAUUCUGCAUCCCGAGCGAGAAUCGAACCCGCGAACAGCCUGUCUUUAGGCGCUUACAGGGCAAACGCACCAGAAACACCGGUGGUUUGCGGGUUCGCUUCCCGCUCGGGAUGGAUGUUGAUGUGAUGAGUUUGGAUGUUCUUUUGAUGUGGGUCACCCAAUCGUGCCGCAGAGGGUACAUUUAGCUGCCGAUCCUGUUUAUUAUCAUAUACAGCUGAUAGCGAUCGUCAUAGCAGGGAAUAUAUCCGCCAACCCGCAGUCAGCAUAAUAGAUUAAGCUCAAAUCCUUCACAUAAAUGGAAAAAAGAGGCAGGUGUUACAGGCUGAAUCGUGAUCGUGGUAAUAGCAGUUGACAGUAGUUGCCAAUGAUCCAUGACUAACAUGUUUUAUGUAGUUACAAAAAAAAAAAAUAAUAAUAAUUUAGCAUAGCUUUAGUUUUUUAUUUUUUAUCACUUAAUUAAUUGGUACUGUUGUGUAUUCACUGCAAUAUUUUUUGUAUAAAGCCAAUGUCGUGAUAAUUUAUUCUUCAGUUUCAAAUUAUUAUAAAUAUUAAACAUACAGAGAGAAUUUAAAUUGAAAUCAUGCCAUAACAUGCCAUCGUGUUUUAAGUACUUUAUUUAAUCAACGCAGACACAAAAACUAAUUCAAUAGAAUCAAUGAAACUGGUGUGUAGACAAAGUUAAAGUAAUAAAAAGCUAAAAAGAAAAGUAGCAUAUCUAACAUCAAUAAUGUAUAAAUUAAUUAAAUACAUAACAUAUUAUAAGUAUGAUACUACGGUUUGUAAGACAUGGAAGAUUUACUAAACUAAUGGAAGAAACAGAAAGAACAAUAGGUACUUAAUUAUACAUAUCAAAAGUCGAUUGGUAAAAUUGAACAUAUAGGUAUUGUAUUUUAUACAUAAAAUAAAAUGUAUAUUUUGUUUUCGUAAUAUGUAAAUACCUUUAUGUAUAAUACUACAUAUAUAUAUUCUCUUAGAGACGAGCUAUAUUAAUGUCGUUCUGUUUAAACUCUACGUCGAUAAGUAUUUCAUACGUCAUUUUACACAUUGUGUUUUCCUUUAAAUUAAUUAAUAUCGCAGAUGCUUUGACAUUUUUGUAGAUAAUAUGUACUACAAAUACAGUUUUAUGAAAAAUUAAUUCAGUAGGUACUUGUAAAAUUAUAAGUAUGAAAAAAAUUGGGAUGUAUUUAAUUUCCGAAUUGAAAAAAAAAACAAAUUUAUCUUUCUUUUUUUAUUCCAUUUAGGUACAUUACUAAAUUUUAUUUAGUAAAGUUUAAACUUAAGAAGUUGCCAAAUGCCUUUUGAAACAAAAGAUUAUACCUAUGUUAUCGACAUUUAGCACCGCGUUUGUUUGAUCCUAUUGAAGUCAAUGGGAUUGUAAUAAUAAUGAUGAUAUAAUAUAACCAUGACUAAGCACACACGUGAAGAAGGGUGAUAAACAUUCGAUAAGAACAUGUAUUUGAUAGCACUGUAGCUUUAGAUAUUUAAAGGCAGCUAUAUACAUAGAGCACUUGACACUUACUUAUUGCACUUUUUAAUUGAACUUAUAAAAGUAAAAUGAUUGGUUGAUUUAAUUAUUGGUUAGUACCCAAUACACACAAUGUUUCGAGUUAUCAUUUCAUGAUUUUAAUCUACUCUAAUAAUCAAAUUGACAUUUUACAUUACAAAAAUUAUAUUCUUUCCAGAUAUUAAUUAUCAGACAUUAAAAUCUAUUUUUAUAACAGGCACUAAUAAGAACCACAUUUGGUCCAUUUCAAAUAAGUUAUUAGAACAAAAAAAAAACCUAUAAAAACAAAUCAAUCAAAGAACUAUAAAUAAAAACAAGCUUAUUUAAACACUCCAGAAUAAUAUAUAAUAUGAAUAGGUACCCAUAUUUGUGGUUUACAAGAUGAAGUAGAUGUUUAUUUAUACAUAUGUGUAUGUUGAGACAUAGAAAGUUAGUCUCCUAAAACAAAAUGAAAAGUAACACUCAAUUUUAAUAACUAAGAAUCCACUGACUAAAUUAGUAGUCAAAUUUAAAACCUUAAGUGCAGUAGGUAAUUUGAAUUAUAUAAGUGGGGAAUUAUUGUAUUUUUAAGUGUACCUUCCCAUCAUAAUGUUUUGUAAUCAAUUAUUGUUGUUGCAUAUAAACAACUAUUCAUAGUAUAAUUUCAUAUAUAACAGUUAUUUUAUAAUAUUGCAAUGUUUCAAUACACACAUAUUGUGUUUAAUGUCAAAAUAUUUUAAUUAAAUUAUUAUCUUUACAGAACAAUUCUCUACAAUAUUUGGUUUCAAGACUCACUACUUUUAAUUUUUGUACCAAAUUGUUUAUAUAGGGUACUCGAUUCACUAAACUACUGCUUAGCUUGAUAUAAUCUAUCUCAUUUAUAUAAUUUAUGGAAAAUUAUUUACAGUCUUAAAAUUUGUACCAACAUCAUUUAGAUCUGCUCUACAAUUACGUACACUUUUUUACAUAAUGCCAGUGGAUUCAAUAUAUCUACAACUAGGUACCCAUUCUUUGAACAAUUCCACAAUGCAUAGUCACAAAAAUAUCUAGCCAUUUAUUUAGUCAAAAAUAGACAUUUACUCCCAAUUUGCACAUAUCGUGAGGAAACACACAUAAUAAAUUUAUAAUAAUCAACAUUAUUUGAUAAACAAUGAUAACAAUCAAUAGAGCUCUAUCAUUUACUAUACAAGUAUGAACUUUCAACAGUCUGUUGUAAAACAUAUAUCUAUUAAUGUACAAAGCACAGUACACUUAACCUAUGAUAGGUACAACUUAUUUUUGGAUAUAUAAAAUGUUGGAUAAGAAAAUAUGCCAAUACCAAUGUAUAUAAUUAUAAUUGUAGAACAAAAUGAGCUCAUAAAUGUUUACAUUAAAAAAUGAAUAAUUAAAUGAAGGUCAAAAAAAUCAUAAUGACCUAAAACUUGAAUUAAUUUUAACUUUUUCAAUUUAAAAUAAAAUAAUGUGAAAAGCAAAACUUUCAAGAUUUAAAUUUUAUGAACGGAUUGGGCAAGUUAAUGACAUAGUAGAAACUCAGAAACUAACAAUUAUCGAAGAAAAUAAUAAGGCACAUAAAUUAAAUAAUCCACUUCAUUUUUAUGCAAUAGGAAAAUAUUUUAGGUAUUAAUCCAACUUUCGUUUUAUUCAAAUAAUAUAUUUGUAAUAAAUUACUUUGCUGCAAAAUUUAAGAUUUAUGUUAGUGGGUUAAAGAUCACUAAAAGUAAAAAUCACUUGAAAUUAAAAAGCACACAAACAAUUACUAGAUAAUCCAAACAAAGAUACUACCUACAACUUUAUAUGUAUCCAACGCAUUAUUUAUAGUUUUAACAGUAAUAGUUUCAAGAAAACAACAAAACACAAGCAAUUCCAUAAUAAAUUAAUAACAUCAAACCACUCUUCACCGACAGAACAACCCAUUUGUUUUGUAGAUAAUGACAAAUAAUAAUUAUCUAAUUUUUGCUACAAUCACAGAGAUUAUUGUGAGCUUAUCAAAUCAGACACUGGAUCAAACUGAGUGGCCUUGGGAUUGAUGUCUUUGUCCCCACUGACUAGAAGGUCCCUGUGCAGAAUUACCUUGUUGCAUCCAUGACAGAAAGUUGGGUGGAGCUGGAGGAGCUGAGGAUGCUGGCCCCGCGAAUGCACCUUGUUCCGAGCCUCCAGAUGGUAUAUUGUUGAUUAAACCCCAUCCAGCUGCCUGAUUUAAAGCAGCUGCUACUAGCGCUUGAUUAACUGGUAAACCACCCAUGCCAAGUGGCAUACUGCCCCCUUGUCCCUGACCCCCGCCUCCAGCUACAGCAGUUUGGCCAUGUUGCCCCGACAAGCCUAAAGCUUGCAUGUUCACCAUAUCCAUAUUACGGCUACUCCAAGAGUUAUUGUUUGAGGCAUUAUGAGGAUGAGCUUCAUCAUAAUUUCUACUAGGUAAGUUUCGUUGGUUUGAGCCACUUUUGUUUUGUUUUGGUGAUGCAUUUGAUACAUUAACAGAUACUCCCUUUAUAAUAUGAUCUUGACCACAUAGACUUUGUGCGACUUCAGGAUCCAAAAAUGUAAUGAAACUGAAUGCUCUAAAAGGUUUUGGAAUAAAAACAUCUGUCACUUCACCAAAUUGAGAGAAAUACUCUCUCAAAUCAUUUGCUGUUAAGUCUUCAGUGCAGCGACCCACAAAAACUUUACAAGGCAUUGAUGUUACCGAGCCUUCCUUAGAAUUGGGUAUCCGAACAUCACACCAGCGACCAUCAAUCAUAUGUCUCUGAGCCAAUACUCUCAUUUGCGAUGUGUACGACGAAAAACGUAUGAAAGCAAAACCUUUCGACAUGCCUGUUUUAGGAUCACGCUUUAAUUGUGCCAUUAAAACUUCUCCAAAUUUCGCAAAGUACUCACGUACAGUUUGCUCAGUAGCUUUCCAUGGCAAGCCUAAAACUAUUAAAUCAGAACAAAGAUUAUCGUUUCUCUUACUUUUGAUAGAAGAUGUUUCCGAACUUUCGCCAGACUUUCGUUUAUUUUCCUUCGGAAAGCUACAGAUGUAUAAGUAGUUGCCCCAACCUUCUGGAGGAGGAUACAAUCUGCCAUCUCUUAAUCUGAUACCUCUAAAUGUUUUAGUCUCCGGAUGCCGAUACUUAAGCCCACAACAUCCAGGAAACUGCGCAGAUACUGUUGUUAGCAUCAACGUUCCAUCUUCUUCGAUUGGAAGUUCUAUGGGUUCUUCAUUUUCAUCUUCGGCCACGGGCAAGUACUCGAAGGACAUUAUUUCUUAAUCAUGAACUAUAUUAAAUAAUAUAUGAUAAAAACAAACACAGGUAAUUUCCUUAUAUUUUAAAUCUGUACAAUUUCUAUUUCUUAUAAAUAUAAAAUACGUCAGCUACGGGUUAGGAACCCAUUGCAAUUUGAUGGUUGAAAACAUAGCUGAAACAAUAAAUUUUGAUCUUUCUUCUUAUUAUAUUUCCUAUAAUUCCAUAGAAAUUCCAGUGUCAAAACUAAAUAAUCGCACUACACUACAAUUCUAGACAACUUUCUAAACGAGACAGUCUCAAAUCAAUGUUACCCGAAAACAUAUUUAAUGAAUUAUAUAAUAUUGCAUAAGGUUUACCUUUUGCGGUGAAAAAAUGGGUAGUAGAUACUAGCACUAUGGUUAUACGGUGUAUGAGAAAAACAACUGGUAUUAUUAUUAAUGUAUUAAUAACUUCUUAGCGUGUUCAACUGUUUGUACUUUGUACAGUCAAGGAAAAAAAAUUGCAAUUUUUAAGUAUACUUGUAUUAUGUG
rnacentral:misc_RNA from 1 species